CAGUCGCCGCGGGAAAACGUAGGGUGCAAGCGUUAUCCGGAAUUAUUGGGCGUAAAGAGCUCGUAGGCGGUCUGUCGCGUCUGCUGUGAAAACUGGGGGCUCAACCCCCAGCCUGCAGUGGGUACGGGCAGACUAGAGUGCGGUAGGGGAGAUUGGAACUCCUGGUGUAGCGGUGGAAUGCGCAGAUAUCAGGAAGAACACCGAUGGCGAAGGCAGAUCUCUGGGCCGUAACUGACGCUGAGGAGCGAAAGCAUGGGGAGCGAACAGGAUUAGAUACCCGAGUAGUCCCUGUCUCUUAUAC
rnacentral:rRNA from 1 species